UACGUAGGGUGCAGGCGUUAUCCGGAAUUACUGGGCGUAAAGCGCGCGUAGGCGGUCUUUUAAGUCAGAUGUGAAAACCCCGGGCUUAACCUGGGAACUGCGUUUGAAACUGGAAGGCUAGAGUGUGGCAGAGGGGGGUGGAAUUCCACGUGUAGCAGUGAAAUGCGUAGAUAUGUGGAGGAACACCGAUGGCGAAGGCAGCCCCCUGGGCUAACACUGACGCUCAUGCACGAAAGCGUGGGGAGCAAACAGG
rnacentral:rRNA from 1 species